CUCUUUCCCUUUCUCUUACAGACAUGUGAAAAAUAGCCUAAUAAGGAUCUUCGUGGUAAAAUCAGAUGGAAAACGGGGAGGCAGAGUCGCGUCUCCAGCAGCUCAUUCGACGCGGCGGCUCCUCCGAGUUGUACAAUAAUCAUCAGUGCUGGCCCGGUGCCGCUGGAUUAUUUUGUAUAUUCAUGAAGGCCCUCAUCAGCCGUCAGGAGACUGUGCAGUAAUCCUUGGAUGAAAUAAGGCCAAUCAGAGCGAUAAUGAGGAAGGUCAAUUGCCCAGAGGCUUCUCCUCCUGUUUUCCAUCUAUUUAUAUACGUGGACCAUAAUAAGCCUCUUGGAACCAGAAGUUACUGGGCCUACAUAAACACCUGCUCUGGUUUUUUGUUUGUCUUUUACCCGAAAUCAGCAAAGUUUUUUUUUUUUUAAAUGAAUCUGCAAAACCAUGUCAAAGCUAUCAACUCAUGCAUGGAGUCGGAAAACAAAGGAGGAUUCUAAUAAUGUUUAUUUUCCUCUUUAUCAGAGACCCCCCCCCCAUACAAAAUCCCAAACCAAAAGAGGAGCCUAUAAAGGAAUGUCUAAACUGCUCACAGAGCUUUCUUUUCACAAAACGAGCGAGAAACCAUCAACAGGGCAGGGAAGGCAAACACGUCUGCCCCACACUGCUUGUGCUUUCUUGGGUCACAGAGACACAUCCGAGCAGGUCAUGGGCUGCUUCCACCGACAGAUGUCCUGAUGUGAAGGAGAGUACCACUGAAGAAAAUGCCUGAACUGCUAUUAUCUGCAUCCUUCAAGCGCUUGUGAGACAGGAUUACGACGUGCCGUUAACAUUAGCCUCAGCACAGUGUCUGGAUGAUCAGCCAUGCCUCUUGUAAAUGUCCCACAUAAACCCUGCAGGCCAUGGGCGGUCACCAUGUGAGAGACAGCAUGGCUCCAUCAGUUGGUUACUGCGGGAUUUCUGCAAAGUAUGGUUCAGAGGAUGUCAGGUCUGUUAGGACCCCUGGGCUGGGAGGGGAAAGGUAGAGGAGGGGUCAGUGACCAGCACAGGACAGAAAAGCAUCUUAAGCAAAUAUUGGAUUGUGAGCAUCGAAGAGAAACAACUCAAGAGGGCCUUCCAGCUGGCUCUAGCUGGCACCCGUUCAAUUCUUCCGGCCAUGAUGUGCCCACAAGAACGCCCCAGGAGAGAUGCUUCUGUAAGGGAGCAGCCACCAGCCACCUAAAUGAGGUCAACGGAAAGAAUGGAAAUAGUUGGAGCCUGGGGAUGACAUCAAACACUGGGUGGGUGAGGGGGAGAAAGGAGGUAUGUGGAGAGAGAGGCAGCCCAAGGGAGGCAGAGACAUGGAUGGGAGGAGUGACAGAAGGGCAGGACUUCAGGCUCUGCACCUCUUUCCGGGUGUUGUUGCCAGCCCUACUCCAACCCUGAGCCAUAAUCAACUUCCUUAAUGAAAUACGUAAUUAACAUAUUAUAAUUGUAGUAAAGAUGAUUUUGACAGAAA
rnacentral:lncRNA from 1 species